rnacentral:rRNA from 1 species
CGCGUAGGCGGUUCGAUAAGUCGGAGGUGAAAUCCCUCGGCUCAACCGAGGACCCGCGUCCGAUACUGUCGAACUUGAGUGCAGGAGAGGAGAGCGGAAUUCCCAGUGUAGCGGUGAAAUGCGUAGAUAUUGGGAGGAACACCGGUGGCGAAGGCGGCUCUCUGGCCUGCUACUGACGCUGAGGCGCGAAAGCUAGGGGAGCAAACGGGAUUAGAUACCCCGGUAGUCCUAGCUGUAAACGAUGGGCACUAGGUGUGGGAGGUAUCGACCCCUUCCGUGCCGCAGCUAACGCAUUAAGUGCCCCGCCUGGGGAGUACGGCCGCAAGGUUGAA